rnacentral:rRNA from 1 species
GAUGAACGCUGGCGGCGUGCUUAACACAUGCAAGUCGAACGAUGAAGCCCAGCUUGCUGGGUGGAUUAGUGGCGAACGGGUGAGUAACACGUGAGUACCCUGCCCUUAACUCUGGGAUAAGCCUGGAAAACUGGGUCUAAUACCGGAUAGGAGCGUCCACCGCAUGGUGGGUGUUGGAAAGAUUUAUCGGUUUUGGAUGGACUCGCGGCCUAUCAGCUUGUUGGUGAGGUAAUGGCUCACCAAGGCGACGACGGGUAGCCGGCCUGAGAGGGUGACCGGCCACACGGGGACUGAGACACGGAGCAGACUCCUACGGUAGGCAGCAGGGGGGAAUAUUGCACAAUGGGAGCAAGCCUGAUGCAGCGACGCCGCGUGAGGGAUGACGGCCUUCGGGUUGUAAACCUCUUUCAGUAGGGAAGAAGCGAAAGUGACGGUACCUGCAGAAGAAGCACCGGCUAACUACGUG